rnacentral:lncRNA from 1 species
GUGCCUUCCUGACCUUGCCUUGCCUGUCUGGGGUAAGCCCCACCUCCUCUGCAGUCUGUUGACCACCUCCUGUGUUGCCACUUCCUCUCAUGAUGACACAGUGGUGAUUCCAAGGGUAGUUAGUCAUUUUGAUCACAAGGCGACAAGUGUUUGUUUAUGUGUGUCCCCUGCCUCCUCAUCUGGAAGAGAAAGAAGACUUUUGAAGAUAUCGUAUUAUCAUAUUCUAUGCUGAGACCCAGCAGGAGAGGCGAAAGAAGCGGAGGCCCUCGUUCUGUGACGGGUGACAGUCCUGUGCCUUUCACAGCCCCAUUUCAGGCGCAGUCUCAGCCUGCAAACAUUCGUUCCUGA